AACGAACGCUGGCGGCAGGCUUAACACAUGCAAGUCGAGCGCCCCGCAAGGGGAGCGGCAGACGGGUGAGUAACGCGUGGGAACAUACCCUUUGGUUCGGAAUAACUCAGGGAAACUUGAGCUAAUACCCGGAUACGUCCGUAAGGAGAAAGAUUUAUCGCCAAAGGAUUGGCCCGCGUCCGAUUAGCUAGUUGGUGAGGUAACGGCUCACCAAGGCUACGAUCGGUAGCUGGUCUGAGAGGAUGAUCAGCCACAUUGGGACUGAGACACGGCCCAAACUCCUACGGGAGGCAGCAGUGGGGAAUAUUGGACAAUGGGCGAAAGCCUGAUCCAGCCAUGCCGCGUGUGUGAAGAAGGUCUUCGGAUUGUAAAGCACUUUAAGUUGGGAGGAAGGGUAGUAACCUAAUACGUUGCUACUUUGACGUUACCGACAGAAUAAGACACCGGCUAACUUCGUGCCAGCAGCCGCGGUAAUGUGACUACUG
rnacentral:rRNA from 1 species